CAGAAGGUAGUUUAGUUUAGAAUACCAGCUUUGGGAGUUGGUGGUGGAGGUUUGAUUCCUUCCCUUUUGA
ensembl:Mt_tRNA